AAAAGCUAGCCUAAACCGC
rnacentral:snRNA from 1 species